AUUGCUAAAAGCGGCGUAAAACCAAACUCACUCACUCACUCAAAGAGAAUAAAAUGCAUCCUCGAUAAUCUCCAGAGUAUACGUUACGAUUACUCUCCACUAUACUCUGGAUGCAUCUACGGCUCUGCCCGAUGAUUUUAUUACCUCCAUUUGCUGGCUCCGCAUUCUCACAGUAGCCAGUCUGAUAAACCGCCGUUACAACCGACCUUGCCAGUGUCAACAAAAAUAGCGGUCGCAGCCGCCAAAGUUUGUUCGCAGUGCGACUCAGAUGUUUGGGAAAAACAUGCAGACAAAUUGACAGGUCUGA